CCCGAUAUCGGAUUAGCUAGAUGGUGAGUAAAGGCUCCACCAUGGNGACGAUCCGUAGCGGGUUUUGAGAGGACGUCCGCCACACUGGAAUUGAGACACGGUCCAGACUCCUACGGGAGGCAGCAGUGGGGAAUUUUGGACAAUGGGCGCAAGCCUGAUCCAGCCAUACCGCGUGAGUGAAGAAGGCCUUCGGGUUGUAAAGCUUUUUCAGCCGGAAAGAAAUCGCACUUUUUAAUACGGAGUGUGGAUGACGGUACCGGAAGAAGAAGCACCGGCUAANUACGUGCCAGCAGCCGCGGUAAUACGUAGGGUGCGAGCGUUAAUCGGAAUUACUGGGCGUAAAGCGUGCGCAGGCGGUUCAAUAAGUCAGAUGUGAAAGCCCUGGGCUUAACCCAGGAAGUGCAUUUGAUACUGUUGAACUUGAGUGUGGGAGAGGCUAGUAGAAUUCCAGGUGUAGUGGUGAAAUACGU
rnacentral:rRNA from 1 species